ensembl:snoRNA
GAGCAAUGAUGAGAAGGUUUCAUGACUGACCUUUUAUAAUUAUGAAGGCUUCUACACUUGACCUGAGCUCA